rnacentral:tRNA from 1 species
AAAACUUUAAGUUAAAAUAAACUAAUAACCUUCAAAGUUAUAAAUAAAAAAGUUUUUUUAAGUUUUA